rnacentral:rRNA from 1 species
UCUACGGGUGGCAGCAGUGAGGAAUAUUGGUCAAUGGACGAGCGUCUGAACCAGCCAAGUAGCGUGAAGGAUUACUUCCCUAUGGGUUGUAAACUUCUUUUAUAUGGGAAUAAAACGUUCCACGUGUGGGAUUUUGUAUGUACCAUAUGAAUAAGGAUCGACUAACUCCGUUCCAGCAGCCGCGGUAAUACGGAGGAUCCGAGCGUUAUCCGGAUUUAUUGGGUUUAAAGGGAGCGUAGGUGGAUUGUUAAGUUAGUUGUGAAAGUUUGCGGCUCAACCGUAAAAUUGCAGUGGAAACUGGCAGUCUUGAGUACAGUAGAGGUGGGCGGAAUGCGUGGUGUAGCGGUGAAAUGCUUAGAUAUCACGAAGAACUCCGAUUGCGAAGGCAGUUCACUGGACUGCAACUGACACUGAGGCUCGAAAGUGUGGGUAUCAAACAGGAUUAGAUACCCUUGUAGUC